rnacentral:rRNA from 1 species
UACGGUAGGGUGCAAGCGUUGUCCGGAAUUAUUGGGCGUAAAGAGCUCGUAGGCGGUUUGUCGCGUCUGCUGUGAAAACUCGGGGCUCAACUCCGAGCUUGCAGUGGGUACGGGCAGACUAGAGUGCGGUAGGGGAGACUGGAAUUCCUGGUGUAGACGGUGGAAUGCGCAGAUAUCAGGAGGAACACCGGUGGCGAAGGCGGGUCUCUGGGCCGUAACUGACGCUGAGGAAGCGGAAAGCAUGGGGAGCGAACAGG